UGGGGAAUAUUGCACAAUGGGGGAAACCCUGAUGCAGCGACGCCGCGUGAGUGAAGAAGUAUUUCGGUAUGUAAAGCUCUAUCAGCAGGGAAGAGGAAAGACGGUACCUGAGUAAGAAGCCCCGGCUAACUACGUGCCAGCAGCCGCGGUAAUACGUAGGGGGCAAGCGUUAUCCGGAUUUACUGGGUGUAAAGGGAGCGUAGACGGCAAGGCAAGUCUGGAGUGAAAGCCCGCUGCCCAACGGCGGGACUGCUUUGGAAACUGUUUGGCUGGAGUGCCGGAGAGGUAAGCGGAAUUCCUGGUGUAGCGGUGAAAUGCGUAGAUAUCAGGAAGAACACCAGUGGCGAAGGCGGCUUACUGGACGGUAACUGACGUUGAGGCUCGAAAGCGUGGGGAGCAA
rnacentral:rRNA from 1 species